AAGUUUCUAGAACUACCUCUAUAAGAUGAUUCUAAUUUUUUUAGGUUGUCCGAAAAGAUGCUUUCGUUUUGUAAAGAAAUAGUAGACGCACCAUGUUUUUUGUUUUAUAUUAGUUCAUUGAAUUAUGCACGAACGUAAUAAUAAAAAUAUAACGAAAUGGACAAUACCUGAUUCGAUAAAAUAAUAUAAAACAAAAAUUGUUGUUCGUCUAUUAUCACC